rnacentral:rRNA from 1 species
UACGUAGGGGGCAAGCGUUGUCCGGAUUUAUUGGGCGUAAAGAGCGUGUAGGCGGCCUGAUAGGUCAGCUGUGAAAACUCGAGGCUUAACCUCGAGACGUCGGUUGAAACCAUCUGGCUAGAGUCCGGAAGAGGAGUGUAGAAUUCCCGGUGUAGCGGUGAAAUGCGCAGAUAUCGGGAAGAACACCCGUGGCGAAGGCGGCUCUCUGGGACGGUACUGACGCUGAGACGCGAAAGCGUGGGGAGCGAACAGG